AACCAAAACGAUAGAGAGAAGAAGAUGUGGCGUAUAAUCUUGGUUUUGCAACGGAAUCUGCGGAAUAUGAAGAAAUGCCCUCGAGUAGCCGAUGAAAACAUGUGCGGCGGCGGAGGGAAUAACAACAACGAUGGAGCUGCGGAGCUGCCGAUUAGCUUAAACGGAACAGGCUCGCGGGGAUCAUGGAAUGGUAUUUCUUUAGUGUCUUGCUUCUCUCAACCACGAGUUAAUGGAGUUGAUGGAGCCUGGGUGUCCACUGAGUUUGCUCAAAUAUCGGAGAUGAAUCAUUUUGUGGUCAGAGACAGCAUGCGUUAUGCAAUCUUGAUGUAAUCAAACAAACAGAUGUAAGCAGUAAAUGAUAGAAUUGUUUUUGCUUCUUUUUC